UACGGGGGGAGCAAGCGUUGUUCGGAUUUACUGGGCGUAAAGGGCGCGUAGGCGGUCAGCACAAGUCAGUUGUGAAAUCUCCGGGCUUAACUCGGAAAGGUCAACUGAUACUGUGCGACUAGAGUGCAGAAGGGGCAACUGGAAUUCCAGGUGUAGCGGUGAAAUGCGUAGAUAUCUGGAGGAACACCGGUGGCGAAGGCGGCAUCCUGGACCGGUAUUGACGCUGAUGCGCGAAAGCCAGGGGAGCAAACGGG
rnacentral:rRNA from 1 species